rnacentral:rRNA from 1 species
AUUUGUAAUCUGGGCUCUAUUCGGGUCCGAGUUGUAUUUUGAGAACUGUUUCGUGCUGGACCAUUUCUAAGUACUGUUGAAAAUAGCAUCAUUGAGGGGAUAAUCCCGGUCAUGAUAUGGACUACCAUGGCAAUAUGAUACAGUUUCUAAGAGUCGAGUUGUUUGGGAAUGCAGCUCAAAGAGGGCGGGAAAUUCCAUCUAAGGCUAAAUAUAGGUGAGAGACCGAUAGCAUACAAGUACCGUGAGGGAAAGAUGAAAAGAACUUUGGAAAGAGAGUUAAAAGUACAGUGAAAUUGUUGUAAGAGAAACAUUUGAAGUUACCUUGUGCUUGUUAGUUCAGUCUCUUUAACUACGGGCAUUCUGACAAUGUCACGGACCAACAUCAG